ACGACCUGCGCCGCGGCGUCAGAUGUCACACAUUGCCAGAGAUAAACAUGGAGGUAACAUCACAUAUAUAGCAGGUGAAUGGGAGACACUGGUCCAGUAUGAAUGUCGACAGGUGAUGUGAACUGGAGACACCUCAGCUGACCAGUCGUGCAUUGGAUACUCUGUAUUAAGUGAUACACGGUCCUUGAGUAACGCUGGAGUGGACAUCGGUGGACCUGGUUUGGGCGUAUGAGAUCCACCUCGGUGGCAUAGUGCCCAUAGCACCAGAAAUAGUAAAAGGGGAAUAUGUCUUCCCAAUAUUCACAGACAAGGUCAGAGGUCGGGACCAGGCGACAAAUGACCUGUCAACACACGUACAAGACGUCACAACAACCAACCAAUCAAAACGUCACCGAGAGGUGCCGCGCGGGCAUCAAUGCUUAAAAGGAUCAGACACGGACAGGGAUGAUUGGAGAACUUCCAAACUAGCAGAAGCAUCAGUAUUGGUACCAAAGGCGACAACAGAUACAGACAGAUCCUGUAAAUCUGAACUUGUGACUCAACCGCCAACAUCAUCAUGUGAUGACGUCAAAGGGCCAUGGAACAGACAGUGGGUGUCCAUCAACUCUUCGGACUUCCACCCGAGACCAGGCGAUGACCACUGACCCAGACCAAGCGAUGACCACUGACCCAUGGGGAGGGUUGGGCAGGACUUGAGAAAGCCUUUGGAUGGGGCUGGGAAUAGUGUGUAAGGUUGAAGUGAUGGAAUGCGUGUGAAAAUGCAUGAUGAUGAUUAUGAUGAUGAUGAUGAUGGUGAUGGUGAUGAUGACGUGUUUUCAGGCCCUACCGUGUAAGUUACAUGUAAUGUGUUCGCCAGUGCAGCCUCAUUUACCAGUGGUGCUUCAAUAUAUUCACCGUACGCACUAGAAACAAAAUCAAGAAAUUGUAUAAUAAUUAUAUUCUCAUUAAAGAGAAGUAACACGGUUAACCGGAAGUAAAACUAUAAGAUCGGAAGUGCUGAAAUAUUGCUGACAGAAUGAAGAUGCAUGAUUAUCCUACAAGAACACGACACCCCGUGACCGGAAGUGACGUCAUCAUACCGGAUAUGUAUUUAACCUGCGUAUUACACCAAGCAGAGGCGAACGGUGAUCAUGUAAACGCUGCAACUAAAACAGUAUUGCCCAUAGGUUUUCCUUAUGUUACAUAUAUUUUUGCCUACGUGGUUGGUGGUUUGAUGUAUAGCGUUCUGACGAUAGUGUUUUGGUGUGAGUACUAUCUAUUUAAAUUUGUAUUAGAGUCAUAAUAAAACAAUGCUGAGAACAUUUAAUAAAUUUAUCACAUACAUAUCUCUGUAUGAAUGAAGAGUAUAUGGAAUUGGCCGAAACGAAAUUGCAAAUGCUGAGGAACAGCUGCCUUAGAAAAUAUAACAUUUCGGAAUCCAAGAGAAAUUCUUUAAUUUGUCCCGUCUCGUAUGACAUGUCGAUGGUGUAUCUAUGUUUUUGACGAAGGAAUACAACAUUGUUUUCAUAUUA